rnacentral:rRNA from 1 species
UACGUAGGGUGCAAGCGUUGUCCGGAAUUAUUGGGCGUAAAGAGCUCGUAGGCGGUCUGUCGCGUCUGCUGUGAAAACUCGGGGCUUAACCCCGGGCCUGCAGUGGGUACGGGCAGACUAGAGGUAUGCAGGGGAGAACGGAAUUCCUGGUGUAGCGGUGAAAUGCGCAGAUAUCAGGAGGAACACCGGUGGCGAAGGCGGUUCUCUGGGCAUGAUCUGACGCUGAGGAGCGAAAGUGUGGGGAGCGAACAGG